CCUACGGGUGGCAGCAGUGAGGAAUAUUGGUCAAUGGUCGGAAGGCUGAACCAGCCAAGCCGCGUGAGGGACGAAGGUACCGAGUAUCGUAAACCUCUUUUGUCAGGGGACAAAGUCAGGCACGUGUCCCUGACUGAGUGUACCUGAAGAAAAAGCAUCGGCUAACUCCGUGCCAGCAGCCUCGGUAAUACGGGGGAUGCGAGCGUUAUCCGGAUUUAUUGGGUUUAAAGGGUGCGCAGGCGGUCUGUUAAGUCAGCGGUCAAAGCCCGGGGCUCAACCCCGGCCCGCCGUUGAAACUGGCAGUCUUGAGGUGGCGAGAAGUAUGCGGAAUGCGCGGUGUAGCGGUGAAAUGCUUAGAUAUCGCGCAGAACUCCGAUUGCGAAGGCAGCAUGCCGGCUGCACACUGACGCUGAGGCACGAAAGCGUGGGUAUCGAACAGGAUUAGAUACCCCUGUAGUC
rnacentral:rRNA from 1 species